CCUACGGGUGACAGCAGUGGGGAAUAUUGCACAAUGGGGGAAACCCUGAUGCAGCAACGCCGCGUGAAGGAAGACGGUUUUCGGAUUGUAAACUUCUAUCAAUAGGGAAGAAAGAAAUGACGGUACCGAAAUAAGAAGCCCCGGCUAACUACGGGCCAGCAGCCGCGGUAAUACGUAGGGGGCAAGCGUUAUCCGGAAUUACUGGGUGUAAAGGGAGAGUAGGCGGCAAGGUAAGCGAUAUGUGAAAGCCUUAAGCUUAACUUAAGGAUGGCAUAACGAACUAUCUAGCUAGAGUACAGGAGAGGAAAGCGGAAUUCCUCGUGUAGCGGUGAAAUGCGUAGAUAUUAGGAAGAACACCAGUGGCGAAGGCGGCUUUCUGGACUGCACCUGCCGCUGAGGCUCGACAGCGUGGGGAGCGAACAGGAUUAGAUACCCUGGUAGUC
rnacentral:rRNA from 1 species